CUGUGGGACUAACAUGGCUAUGAUCUGUCGCACAGACUUCAGGCUGGCACCCAGGCAAAAUUCUAUGCUGUAGUAAAUGCAUCAUGCACAUUUGUAACAACAUGUACAUAACAAUGUCACAAAAUACUUUCACGGUGACACCUAGAUUAGUGUUUUAUUGAAUAGCUGAUGAUAUAAACUGGCUCAUUUGAUGCCAAGACUGACCAUCACCACCAUGCCAAGGUCCUCACUGAUCAGAGGCCUAACCCAAGGAGGUGGUCAUGUGCAGACCCAGCGGUGGGGAGGAAAGAUGCUGCAGAGGAGACAGAUGCCCACAGAGGCCCCUGAGCGGAUACAAUGCUCACUAAGUGGUAAGUAUAGACUCAAUGUAGGCUGUAAGGUCUCCCCCUGUGCAAAUGGGACCCCAUCCACUUGAGAGUCAAGGGUCUGUUUGGGUGGCAGGGAUGGCCACUUCUGAAGGUAGAAAGGAAAAUAAGCCACCAAAUUGGUAUCUUUCUGUGAAAUGGACAUCGUGCUUAGAAUCUCCAUUUUCCCCAUAACCUGGAGGAAUAAGUACUGUCAUCUGCAUUUUAUAGCUGAGGAAUCUGACUCAACAAAAUUAAAUUACUCGCCUAAGCAAUUAGCAAUUAACCAAGUCUUUCUGACUCAGAAACCCAGCUGUUGCCUGUUCAUAUCCAGCCCUUGUACUGGAGUCAAGAUCUGGCCUGUUCUCAAUGCAGCAAGAUGCAGGCAGAUCACACUGGACUCCCAGCCCUGAAUCUGGCUCAAGGGGACAUCAAAUUUGACUGGGUCAUGGGGCUCAGGAGCAUCACUCUCAAAAAUAGCAGUACAGGAAGAGGCGAUGGCCCUAAACAGCAUUUGCAGGCAGAUCCCAUGUUAAUCGUAAGGGUCAGGACUCUCUCACUUUUCUGUCUCUCUCUCUGUCUCUCCUCUAGGGCUGACCCCACAUUGGACACCACUGCAUCCAUGUCCAUCACACACCACAGCUGCCUUUUCUUCUGCCUGCUUAUGGGAAAGUCCCCUCCUCUCCUCCGUUUUCUUCUCUUCCUGCCCCUAUCACACUGUGCACUUCUCCCUUUCCUUACAGAACCACCAUCAACUUUAGGAGGAGGGAAAGGGGUGGCUCUGGCAGGAAAAGCCAGAAUCCCCUCUAGCCAGCAGAGAGAGAGGAAUGGCUGCAUGUUUUCUCCCCCAAUCCAAGGCACUGGGUCUUGGCUGGGUUGCAGGUUCCAAGCUGCUCUCCUGCUGUGUCGGUGAGUUCUGGUCAACCUGCAACCUCCUGAUGUGGCCACUGCAGUUCAUCGAGUCUUCAGGGACUCCCCAUGGCCUGGAGUACUUUGCCUUGCUUACACGGGAGAGGAGAAUGGAUUUAUAGAGAACAUCAUCUAAAUCCAACUUGACCAUUGUGUGGCCACACUUGCUAGAUUGCUAUAGUCUAAAUCUAGCAUUGUAGAAAGACGGGGGAGCUUGGAGCUGCACAAACUCAGGUCUGGAACUGGCUCCUUACCUUGGAAGGUGAAUGAUCCUGGCAGGACUCUUAGCCUCCCUGGGCCUCAGUUUCUUUAUCUGUUUCAUGGGAAUGAGGAUCUCUGCUGGGUGGUUGGGUGAUGUGAGGGCUGUGUGAAAACAGCUUGUCAAUACAAGCCGAAAUAGAAAUAUUUCUCCACAGAUUAUGAAGGUCAAAUGAGAGAAUAUAUUUAAAUUAAAUGGAAAAUUAAAAUGGCAAAAAAGGCAAAGCUGUAUUGAAAGUUCCGAGCUUCUGUAUGAGCAGCUUUUUGACUAUGUAAGAAUCCUGUACUCGUUCCCCCUGAAUAUAAAAAAAAAAAAAAGUUGAAGGAGGCAGAAGGGAGAGUGAUGCACGAUGGGCGAGGACUUCACCUGCUGUUGCUGGCUUUGAGGAUGGAGGAAGGAGGCCACAAACCUAGAAGCUGGAGCCCCUAGAAGCUAGAAAAGGCAGGGACCCGAUUCAUCCCUUGAGCCUCCAGAAGGGACAUAGCCCUGCCAGCCCCUUGACUUUAGCCCAGUGAGAUCCUCUUAGGACUUUUGGCAACCAGAACUAUAAGACAGAAAUGGAAGCCACUGAGUCUAUAGCUGUUUGUUGCAGCAGCAAUAGAAAACUAAUGCAGAGCCCAAGAAAUCACUGGUGAUGAGAUGGGGAAAGUGGGCUCAGGAGGUCUGGAUCUGUGAUGAGAUGGGGAAAGUGGGCUCAGGAGGUCUGGAUCUGUGAUGAGAUGGGGGAAGUGGGCUCAGGAGGUCUGGAUCUGGGGUGGGGAUCUGGAGUGGAAGGGGAAUUCAUUUGUUCAUUGUCUAUCCUUUUGCAUUGAUUGAUUUUUUUCUAUAUAUAUAUGUGAAUUUUCACAAUAAAAGUUUUUUCCAAAAUAAAAUAAAAGAAACAAAAGGGGCUUUUUGCAACCCAAUUCCUAUCUAUGUCUGAGUCCACUUGUAUUGAAUGAGUCUUUCUGCCAACGUUCUUAUAUUUGGGUGACAAUCUGAAUGUCAGUGACCAAUCAGAGCAGAGGCAGACCUUGGAGUGGGCAGGGCAUCCUGAGGGCCCUGAUUCCUGCCAUGAGGCAUAACCCUUUAGGUGCCAGACCAUGGGGAGGUCCAGGGGUUGCAGGGGAGGGCUGUGCAUCUGCAAUGGCGCUCAGGAGGCUCCCGGUGGUGGCAAUUGGUGAAUCUGCACAGUGGUGUUUCAAUAUUGUCACAACCCUGCUGCCUCUCAUGCUCUCAAAAAGCAUUUCUCUUACCUGUGACAGACUUCCUAUACCUAACAGCUUGCAAAAAUAUUCCAGGUUAAUGAGAAUAAUCUCUCGGAGCCAUACCUCCCUGCUUGGGGUCUCAGUUUCCCCAACUGUCCCCAGACAAGUUAGGCUAGAAGGCCCCUGAGCCUCAGCCCCUCUAUACCUCUCCUGUCACCCAGACCUGAUCUGGGUCUUGCACCCUGGGUGCAGCAUGACAGAGCUGGGCAGGGGCUGGCUCUGGGCCAGAGGACCCUUUCUGAUGGACUUCGGCUGUUGGCCUUCCAGGGGAGACUGAUCAACCUCACAAGAGUCAUAAGGUGAGUAGCGGUGGGCAAAUCCAUCCCCCUCAUCUUAGAUUUAUGGGGAUACAGAGAGAAAGAGGAGACACUCCAGGAAGACCUGCAGGUGGGAGUACCAGGUUGAAACCAAGGACACCUUCCUGGAGGAGCUGCUGUUUGAGCCAGCUCUGAGAACAGGUGGGGACAGGACUGGAGAGGAGGAGGGGGUCUCCUAUGAGCAAAGACUGGCCACCACCCCAUGUAACACCCCCACAGGGCUCCUGUGGCAUCCCUGUCCAGUCCCUGUCACCACCCAGUUUUUCCCUCUGGACCCAGGAAUUCAAAGUAAGCAAGGAGGUCCGCUGCUCCAGUUGGCUGCCAAUAAUUACAACCUUGAGCCCAAGCAGCACUUUGGGUCCUGGUUUGGGACCAUGAAGCGGCUCGGUGAGACUGAGAGGUAAGGCCAGGGCAGGAAUUGGGACAGCAGGAUUGAACUCUCCCUGGGGGCCAGCCUCAGAAAGCCUGUGGCCAUGGCCUCUUGGUCAACAUCAGAUCCUGUGGUCUGGCAAUGCCUGGGGUACCCAGACCUCACUCUGGACAGGCCCUGGGAGGGGGCCCUGGUGAGAUUCCUGGCAGCCUCACAGCCACUCUUCUGUCCAUAGCUACAACCUGUCAUGCCAGCUGGAGGCUCCAUCCCAGUUGGCUGGGAGCACAAAGGCCAGGGAGAUAGACAUCACCCACCACAGGGGCCAGUCAGGGCCUGAACCAGGGCGGGCAGAGGUUGGCUGCCUUGGGCUAUGGGUGGGCUCAGGGAGUCAGACAGCAAGGGACUAGCCUCCUAUCCUACUGCUGACCAGCCCUGUGACUGGGGAGAGUCACCUUACUUCUCUGGGCCUCAGUUUCCCCCUCUGUGGAGUGACGCUAAAUGAUCUCUCUGGAGACUGGGAUCAAUAGGGCACUGGUGAUUGAUGAGGCACUCAGCACAUGCCUGGAGCACACAGUGCAGGGCUGUGGUGGGGAGGUGGCCUGAGUUCCUGGGGAGUCACCCAUGUGUGCCUGCCCUUCCGACCAGCCACCAGGCCCUCAGGGCAGAGCCCACUACCAGCAGCAGCUCCACACCCCGAGACCAGCUCAGAGGCAGCCCCUACCUCAGCAGCAGGGACAUCAUGGACACUUUGAGCUGGUACUAGGGUGGCUUCUCCAGCUCCCACGUGGAGAGGGGUCCCAGCUGAGUCCCACUCACAUGGAGUCUCAUGCCCCUGAGAGUGCCAUUCACCACUGGCCAGGCUCAUGAGGCCGCAUGAGAGGGGGGUCACCGGGGAGGAGAUAUCGGGGGAACAGAGAGGGUGGUUGAAUUUUUGUAUAAUAGGCAGUGCAAGUGUUUACCGUUUGGGAGGGGAAAGGUUUGUUGUUAUUAGCAAUGCUACACUUGAAUAUUAUACUAAAAUCCAGUUUCUUUAUAACCUGGGAGUUGCUCUUUUGUUCUUUCUUUUCCCAUCUUCAUUAAAAUGAGAUGCAGACUCUCACGGUCCACAGUCGAUUAAGAAAUCUUGCACGGCCAUCAGGUUUUGUCUUGGAGAGCAGAGUUUCAGUACCAUCAGCCUGGCAAGGAGCUGGGCCUGCUCCUCAGAGCACCAGGGACUGCGAGAUUUGGCAUGUACAUUUGCAAGGACCAUGUCCUCACCCAGAGUGGUGCCUGCCUUUCUACAGUUUUUCAGGAAGAGGAAACAUUUUCUGCUUCUCUCGCUGAGGUUUUUUUUAACCACCCAUUAGGAACCUAUACAUUUCAGGAUCGAACACUGGGAUUCCCUCAGCACUAAAGGAGGAAAAUUGCAAACAGAGCAGAAAGUGCAAUGUGGAAAGGUCAGGCUGAGGAAGGUUCUUUGCCAGUAGACUGAGGGCAGGAAAGACACUGCCUCCUCAGUCUCCCACUAGGGAACUUGUGAUUCUUGUCCCCUGACCUCAGAAUUCCUUGUCAUGCUUGUUUUGUCUCCAAGGGAAGGGUUUGAAUUACACAAUUUAAGGCUAGAGUGGGCCUCGUGCAGUUAACAUUAACCCUCUCUCUCCUUUGCUGGCCGAGGUGAAGUCUAGGACCAUGUAGUUCUGACGUCCACUCUCUUGGGGGAUCACCAGUUCACCCAUCUCACCCGGCAAGCUGGGCCCUAGAGUUUGGCGACAGGCAUCUUCCACCCACCUGGGAGGCAGGGUUCAACACUCUGCCACUGACCUUGUUUCCUUCUUCUGCCACCUGCUUAGGCAGCCAGAAGGGCUUGUCCAGCCAGCACCUGGGCUUUGGUGCUCCUCAAGCAGAUGGAGGAAGUUUCAGGCACUUGGCUCCUCAGGUGUCUGCCAUCCAGGUGCUCUUCAGGCCUGCCCAGCAGAGCUCUCUUGAUCCAGCUAGAACUGGCCAGAACUGACUCACUCAGGAAUGUGUAGACUUUGGCAUCAGGGGCUGCUUUAAUUUGCACAAUUUCCAAAUACCUCUUUUUUCUUCUUUUUCUGAUGAGUCAUCUCCCUAGACUUGCAUUUUAAAGAAAUAGAUAGUUAUCAGGUUCCAGAGAAGACAUGGUAGAACAUUUAUAUCUCAAAGACACAGAGCUGAGACUUCAGGUUUAGAUACUAUAAUUUGCCUAAACCAAAAAGGAAGGUGUAGGUAAAGUUCUAGUCAAGACAGGAUGGCCAGGAAAAACACCUUAAACCAAGGGAUGGCUUGCUUUGCUGAUUUAAGCCAAUGGCUUCUUUAUCAUAAGACUUCCCAGUGAUUUAGUCCUCCCUCUCUUCCAGUGCACAGAGACAUACCCCUCCUUACAAAUAAAAAUGUUCUUUAUAGAUGUAAAUUUAUUUUACAAAAAUGUUUCAAAAUAACCAGAUGAAUUUUAUGCCAGAAAGACUUGGUUUUUUUUUUUCAUUACUAGAAAUGAAACCGUAAGUAUUUGUUGUAUUGAUAUACUUAGGCUUAGACCUAUGUUUAACAAGAAAGCCAAAUAAUAGCACUGUGGUUAUACUCUAGCCUAUUUUUCCAAACCAUCAUUUUAUUAUUAAGGAAACAAAGGAUCAAAUACCUUUCAUUCAUCUGAUAUGAUCCUUUAAAACACAUUCUACUAAUAAGUCCCAUUUGGAACAUCUGAAAAUCUUUUAAUAAAACUUUUUAAAGAUGAGCUCAUGGCUUAGUGUAAAUUUCACAAGCUUAAUUAGGUCAAAUGGAAGGAACUCAGAUGAGUAGUUGCCCAAUCAGAGCCCAUUAUUUGUAAGUCAUCAGCCCCUUCCAUGACCUUAAAACUCCACUCUGACCUAACUAUUGCAAACCUAUAUACAACAAAGUGAAAGGAUUAAUUUUCAUUCAUCAACCUCUCAAUCCCAGAUUUUCAAAGAAAAAACCUAUGUAAGGAAUACUUACCAAAACCAGAAAGGAAAAUUAGAGCCUGCAUACUUAAGAGUCAAAUUUGUUCCACUACAGCCAGGUCGCAUACAAUUACAUCAUUUGGUUCUUCAUACACUCUAGAACUGACCAGGACAGAGUUUAGCAUAGAAAAACUGUAAGAAAUAGGUUCCGAAACAUAGAAAUUGCAAAGUUCAAAAGGCUAUGAAAAAAGACUAAUGUAAAUGAGAGACUACCUUCCCUUUGUUUUAAAGAAAUAGACCCAUCAGAGAAAUGCAAAUCAAAACCACAAUGAGAUACCAUCUCACACCAGUUAGAAUGGCGUUCAUUAAAAAGUCAGGAAACAACAGGUGCUGGAGAGGAUGUGGAGAAAUAGGAACACUUUCACACUGUUGGUGGGACUGUAAACUAGUUCAACCAUUGUGGAAGACAAUGUGUCCAUUCCUCAGGGAUCUAGAACUAGAAAUACCAUUUGACCCAGCCAUCCCACUACGGGGUAUAUACCCAAAGGAUUAUAAAUCAUGCUUCUGUAAAGACACACGCACAUGUAUGUUUAUUGCAGCACUAUUCACAAUAGCAAAGACUUGGAAACAACCCAAAUGUCCAAAAAUGAUAGACUGGAUUAAGAAAAUGUGGCACAUAUACACCAUGGAAUACUAUGCAUCUAUAAAAAAUGAUGAGUUCAUGUCCUUUGUAGUGACAUGGAUGAAGCUGGAAACCAUCAUUCUCAGCAAACUAUCGCAAGGACAAAAAACCAAACACCGCAUGUUCUCACUCAUAGGUGGGAAUUGAACAAUGAGAACACUUGGACACAGGAAGGGGAACAUCACACAUGGGGGCCUGUUGUGGGGUGGGGGGAAGGGGGAGGGAUAGCACUAGGAGAUAUGCCUAAUAUAAAUGAUGAGUUAAUGGGUGCAGCACACCAACAUGGCACAUGUAUACAUAUGCAACAAACCUGCACAUUGUGCAUGUGCACCCUAGAACUUAAAGUAUAAUAAAAAAAAAUAAAAAAUAAAAAAAGAAAGAAAUAGAUGUUCUGUAAAAAUAUACACAAUUUUUACAGACAAAUACAUUUAUAAGUUGUUUUUAUCUUAAAAAUUGAGGAUAUUUCAUAUUUAUAACUAAUUAUUGAGCCUUAAGUUUUCUUGGCCAUUUCUAGGCUAAUAAACUAAGAAUCAUGUAAACUAAGCCAAAGUAGAAUAGACAUAAAAGUCCUGAACACUUCAACUUCCUAUUCUUCAAGAAGUAUACCUGGCAAAGCUCAUUUGAGAGAGGAAAAGCUUUCCUCCACCCUCUGUUUUACAGCGCUGAGGCUUCUCAUCACAGUUCUAUGACUUGUAGCUUAAAUCCAUGUCACAUGGUCACUGGCAUUGUUAGUGCUUCUCUUUUAACACUGUAGGAAUUAAUCAAUUCGGUGACAUAUUUAAUUAAUUCUAUCG
rnacentral:lncRNA from 1 species